CCCACUAUGCUCAACCGUAAACACAGAUGGGACCACACACACCCCCAUCCGCCAGAGAAGUACAAGAAAAACUUAAAACUCAAAGGACUUGACGGUGUCCCAAACCAACCUAGAGGAGCCUGUCCUAUAAUCGAUACUCCACGCUACACCUCACCCCCUCUUGCAACCAGUCUGUAUACCGCCGUCUCCAAGUUCGCCUUAUGAUAGGACAACAGCGAGCAAGCCAGCCCACCACUAAGACGACAGGUCAAGGUGCAGCCUAUGAGGGGGCAGCGAUGGGCUACAUUUUCUGACAAACAGAACAUCACCUCCAGCCAAAUGAAACAAUAGGCCUAAAGGCGGAUUUAGCAGUAAGCCAAACAAGAACGUCUGACUGAAACCUGCUCUGGGACGCGUACAC
rnacentral:rRNA from 1 species